AUAUUACUAAGCGGAGGAGAAGAAAUUAACUAAGAUUGCCUUAGUAAGGGCGACUGAACCGGCAAAAGCUCGAAAUUAAAAUCGGAAAUUCAAUGAAUUUUCGAAUUGUAAUCAGGGUACCCGAAAUACGGGAAGUCACUCAAGAGUAUCGAAAGACUCGCCAAAGAGGGUGAAAGCCCCGUGCAGUGAUUUCUCGAACAAGGGGACUCGAACAAGAGUCGUGUUGCUUGGAACUGCAGCACUAAGAGGGAGAUAUGAUUCUUCCAAAGCUAAAUAUGGAUGGGAGACCGAUAGCGCACAAGUA
rnacentral:rRNA from 1 species